GCCGCUUGAAAGUCGCCCCGGCCGUGCCGUGGCCGUGGGUGAGAUCCGGCGCCGACAGCCAGCAGGGGCCUCCGCUCGCCGCCCACGGCCUCGGUGUGAGGAGGCGAAACCCAGGCCCCGACAGGC